GAUGAACGCUGGCGGCGUGCCUAAUACAUGCAAGUCGAGCGAACAGACGAGGAGCUUGCUCCUCUGACGUUAGCGGCGGACGGGUGAGUAACACGUGGAUAACCUACCUAUAAGACUGGGAUAACUUCGGGAAACCGGAGCUAAUACCGGAUAAUAUAUUGAACCGCAUGGUUCAAUAGUGAAAGACGGUUUUGCUGUCACUUAUAGAUGGAUCCGCGCCGCAUUAGCUAGUUGGUACGGUAACGGCUUACCAAGGCAACGAUGCGUAGCCGACGUGAGAGGGUGAUCGGCCACACUGGAACUGAGACACGGUCCAGACUCCUACGGGAGGCAGCAGUAGGGAAUCUUCCGCAAUGGGCGAAAGCCUGACGGAGCAACGCCGCGUGAGUGAUGAAGGUCUUCGGAUCGUAAAACUCUGUUAUUAGGGAAGAACAAAUGUGUAAGUAACUAUGCACGUCUUGACGGUACCUAAUCAGAAAGCCACGGCUAACUACGUG
rnacentral:rRNA from 1 species